CGCAGCCGCGGUAAUUCCAGCUCCAAUAGCGUAUAUUAAAGUUGUUGCAGUUAAAAAGCUCGUAGUUGAAUUUCGGGGUUCAUCCGUUGGUCGGGCUUUUGGGUCUGUACUGGCGUGAUGGAUUCCUACCUUCUGAAUAACCAGCAUGCCAUUAAUUUGGUGCGCUGGGGAAGCAGGACUGUUACCUUGAAAAAAUUAGAGUGCUUAAAGCAGGCUAUUGCCUGAAUACAUUAGCAUGGAAUAAUGAAAUAGGACGGCAUGGUUCUAUUUUGUUGGUUUCUAGGAUCACCGUAAUGAUUAAUAGGGAUAGUUGGGGGCAUUAGUAUUCAAUUGUCAGAGGUGAAAUUCUUGGAUUUAUUGAAGACUAACUUCUGCGAAAGCAUUUGCCAAGGAUGUUUUCAUUAAUCAAGAACGAAAGUUAGGGGAUCGAAGACGAUCAGAUACCGUCGUAGUCUUAACCAUAAACUAUGCCGACUAGGGAUCGGACGAUGUUAUUUUUUAUGACUCG
rnacentral:rRNA from 1 species